UAAUACAGAGGAGCCAAGCGUUGUCCGGAUUGACUGGGCGUAAAGCGCACGCAGGCGGUUGCGCGCGUGGGGUGUGAAAUCUGGCCGCUUAACGGCCAGGCGCCAUCCCAUACGGCGCGACUGGAGUGAUGCAGAGGUCGGUGGAAUUGCCGGUGUAGUGGUGAAAUGCGUAGAGAUCGGCAGGAACACCCAGGGGGAAACCAGCCGACUGGGCAUCAACUGACGCUGAUGUGCGAGAGCGUGGGGAGCGAACCGGAUUAGAUACCCGGGUAGUCCACGCCGUAAACGAUGGCCACUCGGCCUUUGGGGGCGGAAUCUCCGUCCGUGGGGGCCUUAGCUAACGCGGGAAGUGGCCCGCCUGGGAACUACGAGCGCAAGCUUA
rnacentral:rRNA from 1 species